rnacentral:rRNA from 1 species
CCCUUAGAUGUUCUGGGCCGCACGCGCGCUACACUGACGGAUUCAACGAGCUUACAACCUUUGCCGAAAGGUCUGGGUAAUCUCCAAAAUCCGUCGUGAUGGGGAUAGAUUAUUGCAAUUAUUAAUCUUCAACGAGGAAUGCCUAGUAAGCGCAAGUCAUCAGCUUGCGUUGAUUACGUCCCUGCCCUUUGUACACACCGCCCGUCGCUCCUACCGAUUGAAUGGUCCGGUGAAGCGUUUGGACUAUGGUUUUCUGAUGGUCCGCCGUUGGAUUACCGUGGGAAGUUCGUUAAACCUUAUCAUUUAGAGGAAGGAGAAGUCGUAACA